AAUAAGCGCAACCAUUUUGUGUCUAACUUUGAUCGUCCGUUUUAUUUUAAAUUUUUUAUGAUUAGUAUUUUUAUUGUUGUUAGAUUAUAAAACACAAAUAAUACUUUAUGUGUGACUUAUGUUCUUUAGUUUUUUCAAAAAAAAUUAAAUAAAACGGAUGAUUAAAGUUGGACACGGAAAUUCAUGGCUAUGCUUAUU
rfam:Oryza meridionalis cultivar OR44 (W2112) chromosome 4, whole genome shotgun sequence.